AACGAACGCUGGCGGCAUGCCUAACACAUGCAAGUCGAACGAGACCUUCGGGCCUAUUGGCGCUCGGCUGCGUAACGCCGGGGAACUUGCCCUUAGGUUCGGAAUAACUCCCCGAAAGGGGAGCUAAGACCGGUUAAUGUCUUCGGAGCAACGAUUUAUCGCCUUUGGCUGGGGGCGCGUUGGCUUAGCUAGUUGGUAGUGGAAAAGCCUAUCAAGGCGACGAUCCAUGGCUGGUCUGAUAGGAUGAUCCGCCACGCUGGGACUGAGGCCCGGCCCAGACUCCUACGGGGGGCAGCAGUAGGGAAUAUUAGACGAUGAGCGAAAGCCUGGUCCAGCAGUGCCGCGUGAGUGAUGAAGGCCUUAGGGUUGUAAAGCUCUUUUACCCGAGAUGAUAAUGACGGUACCGGGAGAAUAAGCUCCGGCUAACUCCGUG
rnacentral:rRNA from 1 species